UCAAGCUCACACUAUCAUUGUACUCACCAACCAACCCUUGAAAGCCAUAUUUCAGAGAUUGGACAUGUUUGGUCAUCUGAAAAAGUGAAAAAUUGAGCUCAAAGAGUUCAACAUUGAGUACCAGCCCCAUACAUCAAUAAAGACAUAAAUACUAGUGGACUUCAUCAUCAAAUACACGAUCCCUGAAGACAAAUCAAGUUUAAACACUUCAGAACCAGAGAUGAUUGCACAAGACAACUGGUGGAUAUUGCACGU
rnacentral:lncRNA from 1 species